CCUAACGUAAUUUAGUAAUCAUCAUAUGCGGCGGGGGUGAAUCCUUUGCAGACGACUUGAAUGGGAACGGGGUACUGUAAGCGGUAGAGUAGCCUUGUUGCUACGAUCCGCUGAGGUUAAGC
rnacentral:ncRNA from 1 species